CCCUCAGGUACAGUGUUGUAUUUCAAGCCCGGUUGUGAAAGAAUAGAGGGGCUCGGGGUCAAUCAAUCACGGCAUUAGCCCGCGGCUACAAAGCCUCCUCUCUGUGUGGCCCGCCUCCCACAGUCCACACGCACAGCUCUGGGGGACGGAUCGGGAGCCGGGGAUCUGCCACUGGAGGGAGCUCUAGGUCGCCAAUCGAGGCCUCUGAACUCCCCUUUUCUGCUCUGGCAUCAGGACUUGCCUACCUGCCUACAUUAGGAGGAGGAGGAGGAGUCACUGAUGUCACUGGAGCCAGGCAGAGAGGAAGCCAAAGGGUCAUGGCGAGUUGAGUCCCAUGUCAGAAUCGUCCCCACGUUGACCUGCGCCUGACUGGCCUCCCAGCAAAAAGCCCCUGUGAAGAAGGCGGAGAGCUGAAUCCGAAGGUGAAAAGCAUCCUCCCCCUCCUCCCUCCCAUGCUGAACAUCUGUCUCUGCGGUGUUGGCUGCAGCACCGACUCUGACACCUCCAGAUGGAGAGCCCGCUGGGAGCGCUGAGGUAUUACCUACCGAGGUGGCAGGGAUCACACCUCCGGAAUGAAGUCCCACACUUGUUUUCUGCACCGUACCCUGUUUCUUGUUGUUGGACCUGUCACUGUUCGCCUUACCGACUGUCACCUCUCCAGUCCUUGGCCUUGUGACUCUUUUGGAAGCUUUUGGCUUCAAAAGAAAGUGCUCGACAACAAACCUCUCUGGCCUUUUUUUAAUUUACCGUAUUGGGUAAUGUGGUAUUUCAAGUGUAACUUCUGUUAGUGGAUCGCUUUUCAUUUUUAUUAUAGUCGGAGGAAAGCUGCACGUGGAUACAUUUCAAAUGAUGCUGAUUUCCAUUUCCUAUAAAACAUCAACUUAUGUAACAAUUUUUAGUUUGCAUAAACCGGAGCAUUAACCAAAUGGCAUUUAAUCUUCUCAGUCUAAAUGUUGAAGGGUAACCUCAGCUCCAGGUCUGAUUAAAAGGGAUUUUUCUUUUUUAUUAAUCUCAGGAGGUCCCAAGCGGUCAACUCCAAGUCACCGUCAGAUCAGAGAUUUAAAACCGCAAUUGAGGCGUUUUCAACUUGUGAAAUGCUCAAUGAAACAUCCAUAUUAAAAAAGAUUCUUUGGUUAGAAAUGCCAAUUUCUUCGUCCCUAGUGUGUUUCAUCACGUGCGGUCCCAUCGUUUAGCUCUCAGUUUAAAUGUGAAAGAAAUACCUGCCGGAGUCUCAAGCGUGAGAGGCCCAAGAGUCGAGUUCCUGAGCCACUCUGGUGUCUUGACAGAUUGACUCUUCAUUCAUUUGAGCCUGAACUCUGCGUGAACCGUUGCUUUAGGGAAAAGGGGAGCAACAGGCCAGUGCUGCUGGGGCAGGAACUGCGUGUGCAAACCCAACACCCAGUGCAAAUAUUGAAACUGCUGCCCCUUCACCAUCAGAUGAAACGGGGGGGGUCCGGCAAACGUUGAUCCUCAGCCACAGAGAGCGCUGAAAUGGGAAAUUGUCAACUCAGUUCCUUAGAUUUUAACAGGAAAAAUGUGGUGGUUUGAUUUAAAAUGUUUCUCUCGGAUUGUAAAACGCAGGAUGUCAUUGCAAGCUGUGUCAGAUGUGUCACAGCAGAAUUUGGGUAACAAAUCAAGGGGGAGACCUGGCUCCCUGGAGUUUGUUGUCAUGUUUAGAGCCCCUGGAGGUAUUUGAAGGUGAAAAGGUCACUGGGAACCACCCUGUGUGUUGUGAAAGACACCUCUUGUCACAUUAUGCAAGGGGAUAUUGACGAGACCAUUAAUGGAAGAAGUUUGCAACUCAAAAACAUUCAUAUUUAGAACAAUUUAUUAUUUACAUUCAUUUAAAAAACAGAUUCUGUAUCUUAAAAUUAAAAGUGUGAUUGGA